GAAGAAGAAAAGUAGGAGAAAGAAGAGGUGUUCAUCCUUCCUGGUCCAGAGCCUACAGAGACCCCAGGUCCCUGCCUCAGCUUCCGGAGGUCUCACUCCAAAGGGAAGAUGACUUUCCUGUGGACUCACCUGGACACCCCAGCCACAGAACGCGCUUCCUUCUCCGUCCUGGCGAAAUUAUCUGGAACGCUUCUUUCUUAAGGACAAAGAGAAAAUGCUGAUCUGGCUCCUUUCCCACUGACUGAGGCUCAGAAUACUUGGGGGUUGCCAGAUGGCUGAGAGGGGCUGGUCCCCCACUACCUGCCCUCCUAGCACUACAGGUGCCCAAUGAGAAGCUUCCUGCUCUAAGUCCAGGUGGACGCCAGGCAUGUCCCCAACUGAGGAGACUUUCAGCCAGGCCUACUCCUGUUUCCAAAAUGACAGUUUUUCCUUCACUCAGCCUUUGGAGGGAAAGGAACAGCUUGACAUCCCUGAAGGCCUGAAGGGACUGUGUUAACUUCAAAGAGAUGGACAGAAGAGGCAACAGGAGUCCCCGAGAGUGCUACCUUCUAACUGGCUGGUGGUGUUUUACAUGUUUCUUUUCUUUUUUUUUUAAAUUAAGAAAAAUUUUCCAUUCAUUUUACACACCAAUCAAAGACCCCCCUUUUCCCUACUUCCACCCCCCCUUAAUUUUUUUCUUUUCAUUCAAGGUCUUUUUGGUCUAAACAUCACAAUGUCACACCUGCACAUGGAGAUUCUGCGGCAUUUUGCUCCAGAGUUUUGUCCUCAAUCAGGAGUUACUGCUUUUCUGUGAGUCCAGACUAGCUAAGGCCAUAGGGUUGAUCCUGAGUAACUCCGACUUUUGUUAGACAAAUUAAUAAAAAUGAAGGGAUUUUUGUUUUCCAAA